rnacentral:misc_RNA from 1 species
UUAUCAAGCUGAGCCUGAUGUCGGACUUCUAGAAGACGUUUGGCGCGGGCGGUGGGGUCUUCGACGAUGCUCAUCUUGGAGCCGUCCUUGACGCCGGCGAUGUCGAGGAAGGCGGCGGAGUCACGCUCCUUGUCUUUGAAGAUUACCUUCUGAUCGAGAUGGUGGAGGCCGGUGAGCUCCGACAUGCGUUUUUUCAGCUCGCCGAAGGAUGACUGGGAGUUGAGGUAGAUCUCGUGGUAGGCGGCGCCGAAUUUCACUUUGAUGCGG